UCCUACGGGAGGCAGCAGUGGGGAAUAUUGCACAAUGGGGGAAACCCUGAUGCAGCAACGCCGCGUGAGUGAAGAAGGUUUUCGGAUUGUAAAGCUCUGUUAGCAGGGAAGAGGAAGGACGGUACCUGCAGAGGAAGCCACGGCUAACUACGUGCCAGCAGCCGCGGUAAUACGUAGGGUGCGAGCGUUAAUCGGAAUUACUGGGCGUAAAGGGUGUGCAGGCGGCUGAGUAAGACA
rnacentral:rRNA from 1 species